rnacentral:rRNA from 1 species
GAGCGAGCGGAACAGCAGAUGCCUUCGGUGAGGACGCUGGGAAAGUGAGCGGCGGAUGGGUGAGUAACGCGUGGGGAACCUGCCCUUAAGUCUGGGAUACCACUUGGAAACAGGUGCUAAUACCGGAUAAGAAAGCAGUUCGCAUGAACAGCUUUUAAAAGGCGGCGCAAGCUGUCGCUAAAGGAUGGACCCGCGGUGCAUUAGCUAGUUGGUAGAGGGUAGACGGCCGUACCGAAGGCAGGUGNNUGCAUAGCCGAGUUGAGAGACUGAUCGGCCACAUUGGGACUGAGACACGGCCCAAACUCCUACGGGAGGCAGCAGUAGGGAAUCUUCCACAAUGGACGCAAGUCUGAUGGAGCAACGCCGCGUGAGUGAAGAAGGUUUUCGGACCGUAAAGCUCUGUUGUUGGUGAAGAAGGAUAGAGGUAGUAACUGGCCUUUAUUUGACGGUAAUCAACCAGAAAGUCACGGCUAACUACGUGCCAGCAGCCGCGGUAAUACGUAGGUGGCAAGCGUUGUCCGGAUUUAUUGGGCGUAAAGCGAGCGCAGGCGGAAGAAUAAGUCUGAUGUGAAAGCCCUCGGCUUAACCGAGGAAUUGCAUCGGAAACUGUUUUUCUUGAGUGCAGAAGAGGAGAGUAGAACUCCAUGUGUAGCGGUGGAAUGCGUAGAUAUAUGGAAGAAUACCAGUGGCGAAGGCGGCUCUCUGGUCUGCAACUGACGCUGAGGCUCGAAAGCAUGGGUAGCGAACAGGAUUAGAUACCCUGGUAGUCCAUGCCGUAAACGAUGAGUGCUAAGUGUUGGGAGGCUUCCGCCUCUCAGUGCUGCAGCUAACGCAUUAAGCACUCCGCCUGGGGAGUACGACCGCAAGGUUGAAACUCAAAGGAAUUGACGGGGGCCCGCACAAGCGGUGGAGCAUGUGGUUUAAUUCGAAGCAACGCGAAGAACCUUACCAGGUCUUGACAUCUAGUGCCAUUUGUAGAGAUACAAAGUUCCCUUCGGGGACGCUAAGACAGGGGGGUGCAUGGGUUGUCCGUCAGCUCCG